rfam:Actinokineospora bangkokensis strain 44EHW Scaffold5, whole genome shotgun sequence.
CAUCCAUCCCGAGCGGCUGAGAGACCUGGCUCGAAGACGCCGCAGCAACCACCCCGUGGGGGGCAGGUGCUACCGCCAGGAGCGAUGGAGG